CUUCAUGAAGCCGGAAUUGCUAGUAAUGGCAGGUCAGCAUACUGCCGUGAAUACGUUCCCGGGCCUUGUACACACCGCCCGUCACACCAUGAGAGUUGGGAAUACCCGAAGCCUGUGAGCUAACAUUAAGAGGCAGCAGUCGAAGGUAGAAUCAAUGAUUGGGGUGAAGUCGUAACAAGGUAGC
rnacentral:rRNA from 1 species